rnacentral:rRNA from 1 species
AACGAACGCUGGCGGCAUGCCUAACACAUGCAAGUCGAACGAGACCUUCGGGUCUAGUGGCGCACGGGUGCAUAACGCGUGGGAAUCUACCCUUGGGUUCGGAAUAACAGUUAGAAAUGACUGCUAAUACCGGAUGAUGACGUAAGUCCAAAGAUUUAUCGCCCAAGGAUGAGCCCGCGUAAGAUUAGCUUGUUGGUGGGGUAAUGGCCUACCAAAGCGACGAUCUUUAGCUGGUCUGAGAGGAUGAUCAGCCACACUGGGACUGAGACACGGCCCAGACUCCUACGGGAGGCAGCAGUGGGGAAUAUUGGACAAUGGGCGAAAGCCUGAUCCAGCAAUGCCGCGUGAGUGAUGAAGGCCUUAGGGUUGUAAAGCUCUUUUACCAGGGAUGAUAAUGACAGUACCUGGAGAAUAAGCUCCGGCUAACUCCGUGCCAGCCGCCGCAGUAA